rnacentral:rRNA from 1 species
AUUGAACGCUGGCGGCGUGCCUAACACAUGCAAGUCGAGCGGUAGCGCGGGGCGAACCCUGGCGACGAGCGGCGAACGGGUGAGUAACGCUUGGGAAUCUGCCUAUUGGUGGGGACAACCCGGGGAAACUCGGGACUAAUACCGCAUACCGCACUACGGUGGAAAGCAUGGGGACCGCAAGGCCUGGCGCCAAUAGAUGAGCCCAAGUCGGAUUAGCUGGUUGGUAGGGUAAUGGCCUACCAAGGCGACGAUCCGUAGCUGGUCUGAGAGGACGACCAGCCACACUGGGACUGAGACACGGCCCAGACUCCUACGGGAGGCAGCAGUGGGGAAUAUUGACAAUGGGCGAAAGCCUGAUCCAGCGACGCCGCGU